CAAAAACUUCACAUUCUAGAAUUAUUUGGGAAAACUUGCUCUUUCCAGAACAGAAAUAGUAAUGUAACCAUUGGAUGGCUUGAUUUGGAAAUAAGCUCAGAAUAUCUAGUCCUGACCCACUGUUGUGGGCAAGGCUGGCAUACACCAGCUCAGGCUGCCCGGCGCCCCAUCCAGCCCAGCCUUGAAUGCUUCCAGGAAUGGGGCAUCUGCAACUUCUCUGGGCAGCCUGUGCUAAGGUCUUAUCAACCAAUCAGUGAGGAAAAAACCCCUCACAUCUAAGGUAAAUUUCCCUUCUUUUCUUUAAAACCAUUCCCUGUUAUCUUAUUGCUAUCUGCCUGUGUAAAAACUUUGUCUCCCUCCUGUUCCCUUCAAGUACUGGAAGGUCACAAUGAGGUGUCCCCAGAACCUUCUUUUCUCCAGGCUGAGCAAGCCCUGUUCUCUCAGCCUGUCUUUGUAGGAGAGGUGCUCCAGCCCUCUGAUCUUUGUGACCAUCCUCUGGACUCACUCCAGCAGCUCCACAUACUACUUGUGCUGGGGGCCCGGACUUGGAAGCAACAUUCCAGAUGUGUAGUAUAUGACACAAGGUGAAAUCUGUGACUGAGGAUGAUAGAAGUGCCUUCUCAGCCUGGCACAGAAAAGCUUCCCAGAGCAGUGGGAAUUCUUCACUGAUCAACCUUGGGCGGUUUCCAUUUUGUGCUGCUGGUACUGCAGUCUUGCUGUGAUCCUAAAUCUGCUGGACGUGGUGUCAGACAGCUGUCAUUUACAGCACAUAAAACUGGAGGAUGCUCUCAGAUAAGAAUGUUUGAUAGAAAGGGAGAAGAUUUUAGGAACUGUUUUUGUUCUCUUAAUAAGUGAAACAAAGGCUUUCAUGGAUCACUGCCUAAGAAGCUAAGUGUAUACAACUGUAUGGCUGAGAUGCUGACUGGGAGUGGUUAGGAGACUUAAGUAUUGGGGAAGAAUUGAGAUUUCUGACACUGAUUUGGAAGUUCUGUUCUGGCUUCACCAGAAGUUAGCUUUGAUGGAAAAGAAAAUGCUUAUUUGAUAGUGAAAGACACUGUCACUUUUUCUUUUGCUAAAAAUCAGCUUACUAAGAUUGUUAAUUGUGUGAGAUAUUGUCCCAAGGCUUUCUUUCCCUGAAUAUGUUGACUGCAUUAAGGGUGCCUACCACAGAUUAAAGCUGCAGAACAAUGUAAUCGAAAGCACUUCACUAAUUAACUUAUUCUGCCAAUUCAACUAUUAAAAAAAAAUUAAUUGGGUAAGCCUGUAAUACAUAUCAGGAAUUUUGGGUUGGAUGUUUUGUGUUUUGUUCCUUGAAUUUUGUCUGUACUUUCAACUACUGGAAUAAAGAAAGCAUAUACUCUAUCA
rnacentral:lncRNA from 1 species